rnacentral:rRNA from 1 species
AUGGGUGGUAAUGCCGGAUGCUCCNCCNNNCCGCAUGGUCCUCUGGGAAAGCUUUUGCGGUAUGGGAUGGGGUCGCGUCCUAUCAGCUUGAUGGCGGGGUAACGGCCCACCAUGGCUUCGACGGGUAGCCGGCCUGAGAGGGCGACCGGCCACAUUGGGACUGAGAUACGGCCCAGACUCCUACGGGAGGCAGCAGUGGGGAAUAUUGCACAAUGGGCGCAAGCCUGAUGCAGCGACGCCGCGUGCGGGAUGACGGCCUUCGGGUUGUAAACCGCUUUUGACUGGGAGCAAGCCCUUCGGGGUGAGUGUACCUUUCGAAUAAGCACCGGCUAACUACGUGCCAGCAGCCGCGGUAAUACGUAGGGUGCAAAGCGUUAUCCGGAAUUAUUGGGCGUAAAGGGCUCGUAGGCGGUUCGUCGCGUCCGGUGUGAAAGUCCAUCGCUUAAACGGUGGAUUCCGCGCCGGGUAGCGGGCGGCUAGUUCNAG